rnacentral:rRNA from 1 species
CACGUAGGGGACGAGCGUUGUCCGGAUUCAUUGGGCGUAAAGCGCGCGUAGGCGGCCCGGAAAGUGGGGUGUGAAAUCCCGAGGCUCAACCUCGGGUCUGCAGUCGAUACGAGCAAACUAGAGUGUUGCAGGGGAGACUGGAAUUCCUGGUGUAGCGGUGAAAUGCGCAGAUAUCAGGAGGAACACCGGUGGCGAAGGCGGGUCUCUGGGCAACAACUGACGCUGAGGAGCGAAAGCGUGGGGAGCGAACAGG